CUACAAUCCACAUGACGAUCAAUAAGGUUCAUGGCCUAGGUUAGUGACCUCCAUUGCACUUAGGAGCGGCGCUCACCUAAGAUAUCUCCAAGUGGGAUAGUCUACGCUGAGGGGUAUGUGUUCGCACGGUCCCUAC